rnacentral:rRNA from 1 species
GACGAACGCUGGCGGCGUGCCUAAUACAUGCAAGUCGAACGAACUCUGGUAUUGAUUGGUGCUUGCAUCAUGAUUUACAUUUGAGUGAGUGGCGAACUGGUGAGUAACACGUGGGAAACCUGCCCAGAAGCGGGGGAUAACACCUGGAAACAGAUGCUAAUACCGCAUAACAACUUGGACCGCAUGGUCCGAGUUUGAAAGAUGGCUUCGGCUAUCACUUUUGGAUGGUCCCGCGGCGUAUUAGCUAGAUGGUGGGGUAACGGCUCACCAUGGCAAUGAUACGUAGCCGACCUGAGAGGGUAAUCGGCCACAUUGGGACUGAGACACGGCCCAAACUCCUACGGGAGGCAGCAGUAGGGAAUCUUCCACAAUGGACGAAAGUCUGAUGGAGCAACGCCGCGUGAGUGAAGAAGGGUUUCGGCUCGUAAAACUCUGUUGUUAAAGAAGAACAUAUCUGAGAGUAACUGUUCAGGUAUUGACGGUAUUUAACCAGAAAGCCACGGCUAACUACGUGCCAGCAGCCGCGGUAAUACGUAGGUGGCAAGCGUUGUCCGGAUUUAUUGGGCGUAAAGCGAGCGCAGGCGGUUUUUUAAGUCUGAUGUGAAAGCCUUCGGCUCAACCGAAGAAGUGCAUCGGAAACUGGGAAACUUGAGUGCAGAAGAGGACAGUGGAACUCCAUGUGUAGCGGUGAUAUGCGUAGAUAUAUGGAAGAACACCAGUGGCGAAGGCGGCUGUCUGGUCUGUAACUGACGCUGAGGCUCGAAAGUAUGGGUAGCAAACAGGAUUAGAUACCCUGGUAGUCCAUACCGUAAACGAUGAAUGCUAAGUGUUGGAGGGUUUCCGCCCUUCAGUGCUGCAGCUAACGCAUUAAGCAUUCCGCCUGGGGAGUACGGCCGCAAGGCUGAAACUCAAAGGAAUUGACGGGGGCCCGCACAAGCGGUGGAGCAUGUGGUUUAAUUCGAAGCUACGCGAAGAACCUUACCAGGUCUUGACAUACUAUGCAAAUCUAAGAGAUUAGACGUUCCCUUCGGGGACAUGGAUACAGGUGGUGCAUGGUUGUCGUCAGCUCGUGUCGUGAGAUGUUGGGUUAAGUCCCGCAACGAGCGCAACCCUUAUUAUCAGUUGCCAGCAUUAAGUUGGGCACUCUGGUGAGACUGCCGGUGACAAACCGGAGGAAGGUGGGGAUGACGUCAAAUCAUCAUGCCCCUUAUGACCUGGGCUACACACGUGCUACAAUGGAUGGUACAACGAGUUGCGAACUCGCGAGAGUAAGCUAAUCUCUUAAAGCCAUUCUCAGUUCGGAUUGUAGGCUGCAACUCGCCUACAUGAAGUCGGAAUCGCUAGUAAUCGCGGAUCAGCAUGCCGCGGUGAAUACGUUCCCGGGCCUUGUACACACCGCCCGUCACACCAUGAGAGUUUGUAACACCCAAAGUCGGUGGGGUAACCUUUUAGGAACCAGCCGCCUAAGGUGGGACAGAUGAUUAGGGUG